UCGGGAAAAGGCAGGAAAGAAAAUGGGCUUAAUGAAGUUGUUGUCAAGAAAGUCGGGAGGAGCCAACCCCGAAACCCUAAUCAAAAUAGGUAACGCUAUUGUUAGGAGCCGAUUAGAAUACGGAGCAGCUAUUUACGGGAACGCAGCCAGGACCAACCUUCAAAAACUCCAAACUAUGCAGAAUACAGUCAUCAGGCAAGCAAUUGGGUAUCUUCCCAGUACACCAGUCCAUGUGAUGUUGGCAGAAGCAGGCCAAAUGCCCAUGCAACAUCGAGUUGAAGCCUUAGCGAAAAGAGAGCUGGUUCGUGCUAUAUACUUCAAAACACCUCUGUACAAGUUCAUAUCAGAAACAUUAAACAAAGAAAUGGGAAACGGUUCCUUUCUAACCGAGACAGCUGACAAACAUAUGGAUAUCCUUUAUCAAGUACAUCCAUCAGAUAAGGAUCUAGUCCGACAUAAAAUACCACGGUACGUACAAACACUUGAUUUCACUCAAAUAGUACGCACGACAUUAGGAGAACCAAAAUACAAAAAGGGAAACAUGAGUCGAAAUGGAUGGCAAACACUUUACCAGGAGAAAAUACACACCACCUACAAGGGGUUCAACCGAAUUUUCACUGACGGAUCAAAGACGGCAACAGGAACGGCCUUUGCAGUGCUAGACGAAACGAACGGGAACUCUAUAGCGGAGAACAUAAACAGUAAUUUCACCAUAACAAACGUGGAAUUGCUUGCCAUCUUGAAAGCUGUUGAGCUAGUCAAAACGAACGACUACAGAAAAACAGUUAUUCUCACCGACUCGCGUAGUGCGUGCGAGAUGCUGCUUAAUGAAGACAGUUUGGAGACGAACUAUAUUGUCGGAGAAAUAUAUAAAGAACUUCAAGAAGCCUGGAAUACCAACAUUAAAAUUCAAUGGAUUCCAAGCCACGUCGGAAUAGUGGGAAACGAACAAGUGGAUCAAUUAGCGGUGGAAAAAAGUAAUCACAAACAAACCUUCUUCAACGGUAUCACACUGAACGAUGCAGUUAUCUUAAGCAAUCGUGAAGUGUGGGAAGAUUGGGUAAGAAACUACAAAGAGCAGUCACGCGAAAAGGGACGACAACACGCACGCAUUAUGAAUAGCCCUGGAAGAAAGAUCUGGUUCAAGGAUCUACAACUUAACACAGCCGAAAUAAGGGUCAUCAGCAGAAUAAGGAGCGGUCACACAUUGACGAAAGAUAGACGGGCCACCUGGGGGUGGGAGAUCGACGAACUUUGUGAAUGGUGCGAAGUGAUAGAAGACCUAAAUCACAGUCUAUAUGACUGCCCUCGACACAACGAAAUCAGAAUAAAAUACGGAGUGCUAGAAUACAUGAAACCACUAGAGCUGAUACUCGAAGAAAACUGUGAAAGUGAUUUAAAGCAAGUGAUAAACUUUGUGAAAGAAGCAAAACUACAAAUCUGAAACAAGACAACAGACCCGAAGAAAACUAUAUGGGAAAAAAGCACACGGAAAAGGAAAUCAAAAUAUAAACACAACAGUCACAACAGUGGGCGAGAUGGACCUAUACGUUUGGUCUUAGCCAGUCGACAGACAAACUCAAAGAAAAAAAAAAAAAAGAGCAUCAGAAAAAGUUACCGAUUAUUUGAAAAAUCUAUUAAAUAAAUUAAUAUUUGUCUGUUAUUCUUUUAAUGGUUCUCUCUGAUGAUUACAAGUUCUUUCAUAAAAGUACGCAGUAUGAUAAAAAUAAUAGGGUGUCUACAAUGGAUCCGCAAAGCAUCAAGCCGAUUUGAACAAUGUCCUAGAACGAGGCUGGAGUGCCGGCUUACAGAAAGUGAUCAUCACCUGUGGCACGAUUUUCGACUGCGAACAAGCAUUUCAAAUUGCC